rnacentral:hammerhead_ribozyme from 1 species
AUCCAGCUGACGAGUCCCAAAUAGGACGGAGUGACGCAUGUCCUGGAU